AGCGCUGGAGAUGUUUCCUGUUUCCCUGUGUGAUGAAUAACAGCGGCCUGGCCGUCUUCCAGGCUUGCAGAGCAGACGAUGCUGACGAGCGUGGCUGUCACUAACAUGGUCAACUCAGAUACUGCGAGCACUGAAGUCCCGCCCACCUGCUGGCUUACUACUUCAUUAAGAAAAAGGAGUUUCACUCACAAACAGCGUGAUACCUCAAUAACCUGACCUUUACGUCUGCACCGUGCAUGCAUCACAGGGACGAGGAGGAAAGUAAGCAGGCUGUGGCAUAUCUCUGACAGCAGUUGUUGUUGAUAUGAGAUGCAAGUUGUCCUGUUGUAAAGCCUUAAUGGACCAAUCAGCAUGCAUCAGCAGAAGGUUAGUGGACACACUCACCAGACACAUUAGGUAUAUCUUUCCAACUGCUCAUUGAAACAAAUAUUAAAUUAGCCAAUCACAUGGCAGCAACUCAAUGCAUUGUCACAUAUAGACAUCAAGAAGAUCUCCUGAAGUUCAAAGGGUGCAAAGAAAGUUGUGUAGUUGUCAGUGCCAGAGAUGCUGGUCUGAGUAUUUCAGAAAGUGCUGCUCUGUUGUUUCUGUGCAAUGGGCUGUAGAGUUCUUGAAUGUACCAGCUGAGCAUUGUUUAAAUACCACAGCCUACCUGAGCUGAGGAAAGCGAGGAGGAUCAUCAAGGACUCCAGUCACCCCAGCCAUAAACUGUUCAGACUGCUUCCAUCAGGAAGGAGGUUCUGCAGCAUCCGGUCCCGUACCAGCAGACUGAGAGACAGCUUCUUCCAUCAGGCCAUCAGACUGCUGAACACGUCAUAGACACCUCAGCUUCACUACUGGAACAUUAUGCACUCCAUACUGUAUAUAAAUGCCACUUGUUUUGCACAUAUUCAACUCUGUAUAUUUUAUAUAUUUUAUUAUUAUUAUUUUUUUUAUUUUUUAUUUUAUUUUAUUAUUAUUAUUUUUUUACUAUUUAAUUUGUAAAAAUGUGUAUACACACACACACACACACACACACACACACACACACACACACACACACACACACACACACACGUAGGAAAAUAUUUAGUAUACACAUCCAGAAAUGCAUACACUAUUAUAUAUUGUACAUAUAUUUAUUAGUUUCAGGUUGGCCAUUCUUGUAUUUUGCUCGUUUGUGUUGUUGUGUUUGCACAUCUCUGUUGCUUGUGGGGCUCGCACACAAGAAUUUCACUCGCAUGUGCUGUGCCAGUGUGCCUGCACAUGUGAUGUGACAAUAAAAGUGAUUUGAUUUGAUUUGAGCUUUGCUGGCGACCGCGUCCAUCCCUUUGUGACCACAGUGUGCCCAUCUUCUGACGGAUGCUUCCAACAGGAGAAUGAUCCAUGUCAUAAAGCUCAAAUAACUUUGAACAGGACAGUGAGGCCUGCACAGACACCAGGUCACAAUCUGUGCUGGAACAGCAACAGUCUAAUCAUUGAUGUGCAGCUGACAAAUUAGCAGCAACUGUGUGAUGCUUCAUGUGCUUCCAUAUGUCAGGACUGAACAAAACCCCACAAGAUAAGCAGAAUACUAUGGGCUCAAAUUGUGGUCAUAAAUACUUUGUACUUGUAAAUCAGGAUUUGUAUGUGUAAUUUGUGUGUGUGUGUAACAAAGAUUUGUGUGUGGACUCAGCCAAAAAAUCUGUGAGAAACUCUGCACUCAAGUUUCAAGUUACAAGUAUGAAUGUUGACCCUAUUUUUCUUCCUUUGAUCUGAUUGGCCAAUGUCAUGUCAAUCACAAAUUUAACUAUCCAAUCAGAGAACAGAUGGGUUUGGCUGUCGGAGGGGCGCUUUUUUGAAGUCCGCACACAAAUUCUUUUUAUACAUACAAAUCCUGAUUUACAAGUACAAAAUAUUUAUGACCACAAUUUGAGCCCAUAGAAUACCAGCGAAUAUAACGCCUGACAUGAGUGUUAUUGUUACUGUAUGUGAUGUGGACUCUUCUUUUAACAAGCCUGAAAUAAUCAUUAUUAAAGUUUAGCUCCAGUCACACAUAUUCUUUGAGGAACAUAUAAUGAGUGCAGCCUUGUAUACAAUAAGAGGAAUAUGAAGUGAGACUCAGUUGUAAAAGGAUAUAAAUGGCAAACUGUUUCUAAAAUCAAAAACAAUCCAUUUUAAGUUAGAAAUAGUUGGAAAUGGGAAAAAUG
ensembl:lncRNA